UUUACUUCUUACAGAUAUAUGUCUGAGGACUCUUGCAGGAUAUCAAAAGAAUAAGCAAAUUUGUUAUACAUGCCACAUGUGAACUAAUUUCUUACAAUUGUAGCAGAAAUCUUUGAGAUUCAACUUAUUCAUAAAUAUCAUCUACCAAAAAAAUUCACACAUUUUUCUUCUAUUUUCACAGGCAGGCAUUUAUUUUCAUGCUGCAGCUUGCUGAUACAAUCAGGUGUGAGUUCUCCCAGCCUUAUCUAACCUUAUCCCUUACAGUCCUCUCAAAACUAAAGCUUUUUCCUGAACAUUCUUAUUUGGAAAUUUUUCUCAGUACCUACAGCACAUAAAGAAAGUAGCAACUGUUAAGUCAGAAAGAAUAUAGAAUACUUCUAGAUUUUUAACUGUGCAGGGAAGAGGAGGAAGUGAGAACAUGUGAGGGAAACAA